AGAUAGAUAGAUAGAUAGAUAGAUAGAUAGAUAGAUAGAUAGAGUGAGAGAUAGAGAGAAAGAGAGAAAAAGAGAAAUAGAGCGAUAAGUAAAGAUUUAAUUAGAUCAUUUUCUUAUGUUGAUUCCAGAGGAGUUUCCCUGACUCUUCAUAUCUACAGUAAAAAAAUGACAAAGUUGACUUGAACACUUGUUUUAAGAUUAAUAAUGCUUUCACUAGAGUGCUGUGACAUGACCAACAUUAGUGAUGUAACACAAGCUGCAUAGCAUACAACAUUAUGUAAAAUACAUAUUGUUAUAUAGGGUUUACAAAAAGAUUCCAUUAAUUAAUGGCAUUUAUAUGAUUAGGUUUUUUAUUUAAAUGUUAUUUGCAUUGACCGUUUCUAUUUUCAUAUUAUUGUGGUGUAAUGAAAACACAAUUUUUCUGAUAAAAUGGAAGACGGAGAUCGUCUUCAAAAGGUCAUCUGUUGUUAUAGUAUAGCGUCAACGUAAGUACUGGGAGACCAACACAAUGGCCAGCCUUAGUUUCGUGUUUCCAACGUGCUUCCAGUAUCCACUACAGCUAGAGAGAAGUGCACUGAAUAAUAGAAGAGUUACAAGGACAUAGGCAACACGUCUCUCUUUAUCUCUUUCUUUCUUUCUCUCUUCUUUC